GUUCGUACCGGAACCUCCAGCAAAAAGGAAACACGGAACCGAUGGAUGUGUCCCGAAUUCCACGGACCGUGUUGUGGAACGCAAAAUGUACCGCCCGCAGCCACGGGAUUAUGAAACGGAACGGAAAGUCCCAACUGACAGCUGAGAUUCGCUGUGCCCGAUGACAGUUGGUGGAUGCGUGUGUGUUGGUGUUUAUUGUGCUUGCUGCGAUUUUGGCGUUUCUUCGAUAAGUCAUGCUCAGGAUUAGGAUGAAGACGUCGAUAAAUAUCGAUAUUUCAUUAGCAGCAGCAGCGAACCUGGAUGGAUGGAGAGGAGCCUCUCAUAAACAGUGGCAUUAGCAGACCCAUUUCACAGGGCACAGAUAAAACAGAAACGGCGCAGCUCGGAGCCGUUAAAGAUUCGUCAUUGCUGAGCGUUGAAAAUUGGCCGUAAGAUGAUUUGAACGCCGGUAACAACGAUUUAUGCGGCACCGUGUGGCAUAAUCUCUCGCUCGCUCACUGUAGCGCUCACCUUAAUGUACCCUUGCCGCGCCAAAGCCGAACCCAGCAUCCGAUCGUAAGCAAUUUCGAACAAUUGGACCGGGCAGAGCAAGAGGAGGAGAAGGAGAAAGACAACAACAAAAAAACAGGUAAAGGUAUUUAAAAUCAGGUCGUUAGUAAUGGAUAUUUUCCUUCCCGUUUUCCCCACAUUCUCUCUCCCUUCCAGCCCGAGGCCCCGUUUGAAUUGCAAGGCCAGUUUGUUAAUGCUUGUCCCGCAAGCUCUGUACGCAUCGA